rnacentral:rRNA from 1 species
CUGGCUCAGGACGAACGCUGGCGGCGUGCCUAAUACAUGCAAGUCGAGCGAACAGAGAAGGAGCUUGCUCCUUCGACGUUAGCGGCGGACGGGUGAGUAACACGUGGGCAACCUACCCUAUAGUUUGGGAUAACUCCGGGAA